rnacentral:lncRNA from 1 species
UUUAUUUUAUUUUGCAAGCCAAAACUAUCUACAAUUAUCUACACACCUCAUUUGCUGGCAAAUACGGAGAUCAAGGGGAUUGACAAUCCUCUUGCCCGUGUUGUGUGCAAGUUGUUUGAUAUUUUGUAUGCAGACGCUGGAGACGGUUGAGGAUCGAUAUUCCUAUUGGUUCAACAAACCUAGGUUUCUUAAUCGAGGGAAAAUACUUACCCGCAUUGCGCUGGGAUAACUCGUUCCUCUUCACGGAAAAACCAAC